CUACGGUGGUUGAGGAUGAGCAUGCGCAUGAUUAGCUAGUUGGUACGGUAACGGCGUACCAAGGCAAUGAUCAUUAGGGGAACUGAGAGGUUGAUCCCCCACACUGGCACUGAGAUACGGGCCAGACUCCUACGGGAGGCAGCAGUAGGGAAUAUUGGUCAAUGGGUGCGAGCCUGAACCAGCCAUGCCGCGUGCAGGAAGACGGCCUUCUGGGUUGUAAACUGCUUUUGCCAGGGGAUAAAAAGGUCUUGCGAGGCCAAUUGAAGGUACCUGGUGAAUAAGCACCGGCUAACUACGUGCCAGCAGCCGCGGUAAUACGUAGGGUGCAAGCGUUGUCCGGAUUUAUUGGGUUUAAAGGGUGCGUAGGCGGCCCGUUAAGUCAGUGGUGAAAUACGGCAGCUUAACUGUUGAUGUGCCAAUGAUACUGGCGGGCUAGAGUACAGACGAGGUAGGC
rnacentral:rRNA from 1 species